GAAGCAGCUAUAAUCAAAUCCCAACUGAUUACUGGCCCACAUGACUACAGGAAAGUUAAUUCAGCUUCCCAAGCCUCUGUCCCAUACCCAUAAACUGGAGAUCCUGACAGCAGGGUGGUUAUGAAGACCUACUUCAGUGAACUUAUGAAUCCAACAUGCUUCCAUGCUUCGAACUCCAUAAAAGAAGCACUGAUGACUUGUGAAUACUCAUAUUAAUUCCUACCUCUCAAGUUUUCCACAUGCCUUGUAAGAAAGGUUCAAGGGGAAAACAGGCUUCAGACACACUCCUUUUCACAGGAUCCUCAGCCCCCACAUCUGAUCUGCCUUUGCUAACAGGCAUAAAUAUUCUGUGAAUGCUUUGGAGUGUACUGGUGACAACAUGGCCAACUGUUCCCUGGAUGACUCACGCGUUGCUCUGAAACAGAAUGGGUGCGUGCUAGGGGAAGCUGUAAAACUCUCAGGUCUGAGUCAUUGCAAUGCCGCAGCCUUCGAGCUCCAGUUUUCACAAGUGCCUUGACAACUCCAUACCCAUAUGUCCACUGCUGGGCUCAAAGACACCUUGAUACUUCUUACCUCAGUGAGAAAACACAACUUACCCACAUCCUGCUGUGUCCUCUCCUGCCUACUGAUAGCUCGACCAUCCCAAAUCAGGACCAUCUGAAAUGCCACCUUCUCAGAAAAGCCUUUCCAGAUGACCCCAGUCAGCACAAAUGGCUCUAUUCAUUAUCCUCCCCCCCCUCACAAGAUAUUCAAGCACAUCAAUUUUUUGUUUAUGCACACCCAGCAUUUCAAUGCGACCAUUUUCAUUUGGUCUCAACAAAAUUGUUUUAGAUCUUAAUUUUUUGAGAGUAAGAAUGUCAUCUUGUUUAUUCUGUAUUCACCCAAAGUAUUAACAUACACAGUAAGGUAUAAAGUGUAUACUUAUAAUAAAGUGAAAUUAAAGUACAAAAUAUGUCUGACUUCAACCUAGUCUUUAUAAUGAUAUGCUUGCUAUCUCAUAAUAUGUAAAAAUAGAGAAUGUUGACAAUUUUUAAACAAUUCUCAUGGAUUUUAAAAUUUACUAUUUUGAAUAUAGUGAAGAUGGUGGCAUAGAAGGACUAGAUCUCAACUUCUCUCCUAAAAACAACAAAAUUCACAACGAAAGGCUGAGCAAUCUCCACCCAAAUGAACUGGAAACCUUAAAAAAGAUACUCUACUCCAGAAGAAAAAGAGGAGGCCACAUCAAGAGGUAGGAGGGGCGAUUUCGUGAUAUAAACAACCCCAUACCUCCCGGGUGGGAAGCCCCACAGACUGAAAACUAACUGGUUCACAGAGACUCACCUACAGGAGUGAGAGUUCUGAGCCCCACAUGUGGGGAUCUGGCACUGGGAGAAAGAGCCCCUGGAGCAUCUAGCAUUGAAGGCCAGUGGGGCUUGUGCACAGGAGCUCCACAGGACUGGGGGAAAUGGAGACCCCAUUCUUAAAAGGUGCACACGGACUUCCACAUGCACCAGGUCCCGGGGCAGAGCGAGGUCUCCAUAGGACUCUGGGUCAAACCUGACUGCAGUUCUUGGAGGACAUCCUGGGAAAACAGGGGUGAAUGUGGCUUGUUGUGAGGGAAGGACAUUGAAGGUAAAGUUCCAGGAAUAUUCAGCAGCUGCCUUUCUCUGGAGGUGGCCAUUUUGGGAAAAUUUGGCCCCACCCAUCGGUCAACCUGAGAAGCCCCAGGGCAAACAGCAAUCCAGGUGGGAUCACAGCCCCACCCCUCAGUAAACAGGCUACCUAAAGACCCCUCAGGCACACAGCUGCCUCUCAUCCCAUCCAGAGACUAAGCCCCACCCACAAGAGGGAUUAGAAUCAGCUCCAACUACCAGUGGGAAGGCAUCAGCCCCUCCCAUCAGGAAGCCUACAGCAAGCCCCCAUACUGAAUUCAGCCGCAAGGUGGGCAGACACCAGAAGUAAGAGAGGCUACAACUCUACUAUCUAUAAAAAGGUCACCACACCAAAAACCUAUAAAAAUGAAAAGACAGAGAACUAUAACUCAGAUGAGGGAGAAAGGAAAAACCCCAGAAAAUCAGCUAAGCAAUGAGGAGAUUCUCAGCCUCCAGGAAAAAGACUUUGGAUUGUUGAUGCUGAAGAUGAUGCAAAUCAUUUGAAAUAAACUGGAGGCAAAGAUGGAUAACUUACAGGAAACACUGAGCAAAGAGAUACAAGAUAUAAAAGUUAAACAAGAAGAGAUGCAAAAUACAAUAACUGAAAUAAAAAAUUCACUAGAAGCAGCCAACAGCAGAACACAGGAGGCAGAAUAAUGAAUAAGCGAGGUGGAGGACAGAUUAGUGGAAAUUAUGGAUGCAGAACAGAAAAGAGAAAAAGGAUUGAAAAUAAAUGAAGAGAGGGUCUCACAGAACUCUGGGACAACGUUAAAUACUCCAACAUCCAUUUUAUAGGGGUGCCAGAAGGAGAAGAGAGAGGGAAGGGGACAGAAAAAAUAUUCCAAGAGAUAAUAGCCAAAAACUUGACUAACAUGACAAAGGAACCGCUCACUCAAAUCCAGGAAGCACAACGAGUACCAUUUAAAAUAAACCCAAGGAGGAAUACACCAAGACACAUAUUAAUCAAACUGACCAAAAUUAAAGACAAAGAGAAAAUAUUGAAAGCAGCUAGGGAAAGAAACAAGUAAGGCUAUGGGCAGAUUUUUCAACAGAAACUCUGCAGGCCAGAAGGGAGUGGCAUGAUAUACUUAACAUGAUGAAAGGAAAAAACCUCCAACCAAGAUUACUCUUCCCAGCAAGGCUCUCAUUCAGAUUUGAAGGAGAAAUCAAAACUUUCACAGAUAAGCAAAAGCUGAGAGAAUUCAGCAACACUAAACCAGCCUUACAACAAAUACUAAAGGAACUUCUCUAGGCAGAAAAGAAAAGGCCACAAUCAGAAACAAAAAUACCACAAAUGACAAGGCUCACCAGUAAAGGUAUAUAUACAGUAAAGAUAUGAAAUCAUCCAUGCACAAUUAUACCACCAAAAUCAGAAAUCAUGAGAAGAGGUGGGUACAAAUGCAGGACACUGGAGAUGAACUUGCAAGUAAAAGACCAACAACUUAAAACAACAUCAUAUACAUAUAGACUCAUAUCGAAACUUCAGAAUAACUGCAAACCAAAAAUCUACAAUUGAUACACAAACAAGGAAUCUCUGGAGAAGAAAUAUAUCUCAUAGUAAAUAAGUGUAUAAUCCCCCAUGAAGGGGGUCAUUUGACAUCAUUCUUGGAAUGCUGAAGUCUUAGAUCUGAUUCUGAUUUCCUCUCCAUCAAAGAAUUUAUGAUAAUUAUAAUUAAAUAAUGCCACUGUACAAUUUUAAAAAAUGUACUAUUUUAUGUGAACGUUUACCUUAUUUUCCCCAUUAAAAAUUAGUUUAUAUAUUUAUAUGUUUCUAAAAUAGUAAUUUGUACAGCUUUUAGCAGUCAAGGAGUCCUGGCUUCUUCCGAAUUAGAAUAGUAUAUUUCUACUUGAAAAGUUUGCUGUCUUCAUGGAUUUAAAGUAACUAAACUGAGCCUGUUAACCUCCUCCAACAGCAGUUCCUCCUCACAAUGUUCCUGCCUUUGUCAAUAAUAGCAUCAUACCUGUUCAUUAGCUCCAACUUUUAGGUCAAGUACUAUGAAAAAGAGAAAGCAACACAUAGAUAUAACCUAGUCUAUUUUUACCUACAAAUGUUUAGCAAUUCCCGUCGAAAUUUUGUGGAAAGUGUUUUUCUUCUCAUCUAUCUCUUUCUGUCCACUGUCCUGGACACAAUCUUCCUCUGCCCCCUAAACUAUCUCCUCACACCUGGAUUACAGGAGCAGUCUCUUGUCGGCCUCUUUGACUUUCAGUUUGCUUGAUCUGAUCUAUUUUAAGUGUAGCUUCAAAGCAUUUCUUCCUUAAAUAGUACUUUCAUAACGUUGCUCCUGUACUUAAAAACCUUUUAUAGUUUGUGAGUUCUUACAACUUCACAGCUAAACUCUUUUCCCUGAUCCUAAGUAGGCACCCUAUUUUCUACAUGCUUCUCCAGUUGAUGAGUUCUGACUCAUUUCACCAAUACACAAGGAAAGUGAUUCACUUAGCUCUCUUGAACAAAGUGAACUCUUUGUGCCAAGCACUGUGCAACAGGCUACAUGAAUGAGAGGCUGCUGACUUUGAGGAUCUCCUAAUAAAUCAGAAAGAAAGAACACAAUUAGACAUCGAUAUAGAACUGUGAUGCUUAGAGACCUGUAAAGUGCAAUGGGAGUGUAAAACAAGAGGAUAGCAAAGCAGGUUUUACAGGUUAGAAAGACCUUAUGCCAAGGGCGGAGUCCUCCAUGAUCCAUAGGAAGUACAGAGCUGUUCACUUUCCACCUUCCACCCAGUCCUUCACCUAUACUUUGCUUUUGUCCAAUCUACUUAUCCAUCAGUAGCUUACUCAAGUCUUGACAUUAUAUGGUGAGUCAGGAGACACUGUGUUCCCAGGCACAGAUCCUGAGACAAAGAUUCCAGUUUAAGUAUUUUAUUAGUGCUAUGAUCUCAAGGAAACUCUGGAUGAAAGUGUAUUGUAUGAGGAAAAAAAUGGUUGUAUUUUACAAGGGGCAUAUUCUCAAGCAAUUACCCCUAUGGGUAACCACAACUCAAUUCCAGAGGGCAAAUCCUAGAAAAACAGUAUAGAACACACACCUAACAGUUAUACCCUGUGAAGAACAGGAAGUUGAGGUAUUUAUACAAUAACUUAGGUCAUCAUUGGUUGAGGCUUCAGCCCUUCCAGUCUGGCAGAGCAGCCUAACUAGUUAAAAGUCCUCAAGUGAAGAGAUGCCAAUUCAGGCAACUAGAAAUCUGCUCUUGGAACCUUGAUUUGGUGAGGCCAGGAAUAUAUGAUCCCAGCACUAAAAAAGCCCUCCACACAAAUCAGCUACAGGCUUUAAUGACGGUGCUGCCACUGUUUCUUAUUAUGUAUGUGCCAAUGAGGAGGUAAACUCUGAGUCCGGUUUCUUCAUUUUUAAAAGGGGGGGAAAUCAUUACUGAUUUUUUCAAUUUUUUAAAAAAGCAUAACCAUUGAUCCCCAAAGAAAAUAUCAACAAGAAUUUUUUUUUUUUUUUUUUUUGGCUUUUUGUGUUUUUCUAGGGCCACACCAAUGGCAUAUGGAGCUUCCCAGGCUAGGGGUCUAAUCGGAGCUGUUGCUGCUAGCCCACACCAGAGCCACAGCAACACGGGAUCUGAACCAUGUCUGUGACCUACACCACAGCUUACGGCAACGCUGGAUCCUUAACCCACUGAGUGAGGCCAGGGAUCGAGUCCACAACCUCAUGCAUGGUUCCUAGUCGGACUCAUUAACCGCUGAAACAUGACAGGAACUCCAAGAAUUCUUAUUUAUAAAACAAGCAAAAGUAAAAUUGUUUAAGUUGAAGUUUUGGCGAGAUGUCUCAAUUGAAUGACAUCUUUUUGGAUACCCACAGUUUCCCAAGAACAAGUACAAUAUUCUGCAUCAUUGGAUAGUAUCAAAGAUCCCCCUGGUAUCAGUGCAUUCCCUCCCACUUUAAUGUUUCUUGAUGUUUAGGACACAACCUAGAUCUCUUCUAGGGAAAGAAAGGCACUGAGCAUUCACUAAACACUCAUCAUUUACCAUACAUCUUGACUGACAUUGUAUAUAUAAUUACUCUAACGAUGGCUCAAGCUUUUCUAAAUAAGGAAAUAAUGAUUGGCAAUUAAGCUGGAGUAUAGCUUGUGAUGGUGCUAAAGUUCUUGAAACUGUGUUUGAAAAAUAAACUAAUGAUUAACUUUAUUUAGACUACACAACCUAUUUGUACUAAAUUUGGGGGAUGAGGAGAGAAAGAUAUUUGAGGAUGACUAACUUAUUUUUGCUACCACCAUUUCUUUCAUUAAAUCUUUAUGACUAUAUGAGAUAGAUAUUGUUGUUGCUAUCAUUAUUAUUACCAUUUUAUUAUUAUUAUAAUCAUCAUCAUUGUUUAAUGGGUGAGUAAAUGAGGCUCAGAGGGAAAGAGUCUCGCCCAAGGUCCACAGCAAUUUAGUAGCAGAGCCAGAACUAAUGCCCAGUCUUUCUGGGACUGGAGCCCAUCAUAAACACACCACUUACUAUUGCAUCUUGCAUUAUAUGUGAAUGUUUCAUAACACAAUUUGUUUACACAACCAGUUUCCAAAGUCUUGGAAAUAUCAGGCGCAUUGAUAGUCAACACAGAGGCUAUAGGUGACAACUGACCACGUAUUAGGAACUUAGAUAACCCAUUGGGUUGCUUAACUUCACACAUUGGAUUUUUUACUUGAAAGGAAGAAUCAAAGCAAGUGUGAAAAUUCAUAUUAUUGACAUCAGUGUAGGAAUUCAUAUACAAGUGCUGUAAUUGGGAAUUAAAUUUAAAAGUGAGUAAUUUUUAUUCCCUUAUUCAUUUAUUCAAAUGUUUUUUGGUAGAAAACUUUUUUAUCAAGCUAUUGUGCCAAACAGAAAAACAUUUUUAGGAUAAAACAAUUAUUAAGAUGAUUUUGGAGUUUCAUGGUAGUCUAGCGGUUAAAGAUUUGGCAUUUUCACUGCUGUGGCUCAGGUUUGAUCCUGGUCCCCUAGCCUGGAAACUUCCACAGGCCACAAGAACGGCAAAAAAAAAAAAAAA
rnacentral:lncRNA from 1 species